UUGACGGAGAGUUUGAUCCUGGCUCAGGACGAACGCUGGCGGCGUGCUUAAUACAUGCAAGUCGAACGCUCUCGACCUUCGGGUCACUGAGAGAGUGGCGAACGGGUGCGUAACACGUGAGAAACCUACCCUGAAGACGGGAAUAGCCCGAGGAAACUCGGAUUAAUACCCGAUAUCUCCACACUGUCGCAUGACAGAGUGAAGAAAGUUCAGGCGCUUCGGGAGGGUCUCGCGGCCUAUCAGCUUGUUGGUGAGGUAACGGCUCACCAAGGCAUCGACGGGUAGCUGGUCUGAGAGGAUGAUCAGCCACACUGGGACUGAGACACGGCCCAGACUCCUACGGGAGGCA
rnacentral:rRNA from 1 species